UAAUUAUUCUCUUCCAGAGAAUAUUUUUCCCGUAUUGCUAUUUCCAAGGGCUUUCUGUCUGAUUUAUUUUCUGUUUUCAGGACUCAGUGAAGCAGAAAACCAAAAGUUAGUCUUCAGUGGUUGGGGAAAAUCCUGAAAGUUGGCGGAGGUGGUCUCCGGAUGAUCCAGCCCAGUUUUUCCAGGACGAGGGAGCAAAGAGCUGGCAAGUGCAGAAUCUAAAAGUUCAGCAAUGUUACCACACACUGAGAUGUGAAAAGUGCAUUUACAGGAUUAUUUUUUGCAUUGGAGGGAAAAGAAAUGAAGCAUUUUCUUCUGUAUAAAGAAAUGUCUUGGACACGAGGAAAAAAGGAUUAUUUCGAUCCCUGUGUUACUGAUUUGCUAUUUUAAAGUAAGUGAAU
rnacentral:lncRNA from 1 species